CGUUGAAGCACUGGUUUUCGUCCGAUCACCGAAGUUAAGCAACAUCAAACCAAGUCAGUACAUAGAUAGGUGAACGCUUAGGAAUACCAAGUACUGU